GUACACUCCUGCGGGAGGCAGCAGUGGGGAAUAUUGCACAAUGGGCGCAAGCCUGAUGCAGCCAUGCCGCGUGUAUGAAGAAGGCCUUCGGGUUGUAAAGUACUUUCAGCGGGGAGGAAGGCGAUAAGGUUAAUAACCUUGUUGAUUGACGUUACCCGCAGAAGAAGCACCGGCUAACUCCGUGCCAGCAGCCGCGGUAAUACGGAGGGUGCAAGCGUUAAUCGGAAUUACUGGGCGUAAAGCGCACGCAGGCGGUCUGUCAAGUCGGAUGUGAAAUCCCCGGGCUCAACCUGGGAACUGCAUUCGAAACUGGCAGGCUAGAGUCUUGUAGAGGGGGGUAGAAUUCCAGGUGUAGCGGUGAAAUGCGUAGAGAUCUGGAGGAAUACCGGUGGCGAAGGCGGCCCCCUGGACAAAGACUGACGCUCAGGUGCGAAAGCGUGGGGAGCAAACAGGAUUAGAAACCCGUGUAGUCCCAUGA
rnacentral:rRNA from 1 species